GAGCGGACAGAUGGGAGCUUGCUCCCUGAUGUUAGCGGCGGACGGGUGAGUACACGUGGGUAACCUGCCUGUAAGACUGGGAUAACUCCGGGAAACCGGGGCUAAUACCGGAUGGUUGUUUGAACCGCAUGGUUCAAACAUAAAAGGUGGCUUCGGCUACCACUUACAGAUGGACCCGCGGCGCAUUAGCUAGUUGGUGAGGUAACGGCUCACCAAGGCAACGAUGCGUAGCCGACCUGAGAGGGUGAUCGGCCACACUGGGACUGAGACACGGCCCAGACUCCUACGGGAGGCAGCAGUAGGGAAUCUUCCGCAAUGGACGAAAGUCUGACGGAGCAACGCCGCGUGAGUGAUGAAGGUUUUCGGAUCGUAAAGCUCUGUUGUUAGGGAAGAACAAGUACCGUUCGAAUAGGGCGGUACCUUGACGGUACCUAACCAGAAAGCCACGGCUAACUACGUGCCAGCAGCCGCGGUAAUACGUAGGUGGCAAGCGUUGUCCGGAAUUAUUGGGCGUAAAGGGCUCGCAGGCGGUUUCUUAAGUCUGAUGUGAAAGCCCCCGGCUCAACCGGGGAGGGUCAUUGGAAACUGGGGAACUUGAGUGCAGAAGAGGAGAGUGGAAUUCCACGU
rnacentral:rRNA from 1 species